rnacentral:rRNA from 1 species
GACAUCACUCGCAGAAGAAGCACCGGCUAACUCCGUGCCAGCAGCCGCGGUAAUACGGAGGGUGCAAGCGUUAAUCGGAAUUACUGGGCGUAAAGCGCGCGUAGGUGGCUUGAUAAGCCGGUUGUGAAAGCCCCGGGCUCAACCUGGGAACGGCAUCCGGAACUGUCAAGCUAGAGUGCAGGAGAGGAAGGUAGAAUUCCCGGUGUAGCGGUGAAAUGCGUAGAGAUCGGGAGGAAUACCAGUGGCGAAGGCGGCCUUCUGGACUGACACUGACACUGAGGUGCGAAAGCGUGGGUAGCAAACAGGAUUAGAUACCCUGGUAGUCCACGCCGUAAACGAUGUCGACCAGCCGUUGGGUGCCUAGCGCACUUUGUGGCGAAGUUAACGCGAUAAGUCGACCGCCUGGGGAGUACGGCCGCAAGGUUAAAACUCAAAUGAAUUGACGGGGGCCCGCACAAGCGGUGGAGCAUGUGGUUUAAUUCGAUGCAACGCGAAGAACCUUACCUACUCUUGACAUCCUGCGAAUUUGGUAGAGAUACCUUAGUGCCUUCGGGAACGCAGAGACAGGUGCUGCAUGGCUGUCGUCAGCUCGUGUUGUGAAAUGUUGGGUUAAGUCCCGUAACGAGCGCAACCCUUGUCCUUAUUUGCCAGCGCGUAAUGGCGGGAACUCUAAGGAGACUGCCGGUGACAAACCGGAGGAAGGUGGGGACGACGUCAAGUCAUCAUGGCCCUUACGAGUAGGGCUACACACGUGCUACAAUGGUCGGUACAAAGGGUUGCCAACUCGCGAGAGUGAGCCAAUCCCGAAAAGCCGAUCUCAGUCCGGAUCGGAGUCUGCAACUCGACUCCGUGAAGUCGGAAUCGCUAGUAAUCGUGGAUCAGAAUGCCACGGUGAAUACGUUCCCGGGCCUUGUACACACCGCCCGUCACACCAUGGGAGUGGACUGCACCAGAAGUGGUUAGCCUAACGCAAGAGGGCGAUCA